CCUCUGUGGCUGCCUGAAGAGCCACCGCCAUCAUGAAUGACACAGUAACUAUCCGGACUAGGAAAUUCAUGACCAACCGACUGCUUCAGCGGAAACAAAUGGUCAUUGAUGUCCUUCACCCUGGAAAGGCUACAGUACCUAAGACAGAAAUUCGGGAAAAACUAGCGAAAAUGUACAAGACCACCCCUGAUGUCAUCUUUGUAUUUGGAUUCAGAACCCAUUUUGGAGGUGGCAAGACAACUGGCUUUGGCAUGAUUUAUGAUUCCUUGGAUUAUGCAAAGAAAAAUGAACCCAAACAUAGACUUGCAAGACAUGGCCUGUAUGAGAAGAAAAAGACCUCAAGAAAACAGCGAAAGGAACGCAAGAACAGAAUGAAGAAAGUCAGGGGGACUGCAAAGGCCAAUGUUGGUGCUGGCAAAAAGUGAGCUGGAGAUUGGACAACAGAAGGAGUAAAGAUUCUACAGUGACUUUGUCUGUAUCUGUGGUGAUUGUGCAGAUUUUUCAUGAGGAUUAAUAAAUAAAACCUUUUAUGUG